AGUGAACGCUGGCGGCGUGCCUAAUACAUGCAAGUCGAACGAACGAAUAAGAGCUUGCUCUUAUAAGUUAGUGGCGCACGGGUGAGUAAUAUAUAGCUAAUCUGCCUCUUAGUAGAGGAUAACAGUCGGAAACGAUUGCUAAUACUCUAUACUUCUGCUUUACAUAAGUAAAGUAGAGAAAGUUUUUCGCUAAGAGAUGAGGCUAUACUGUAUCAGCUAGUUGGUAAGGUAACGGCUUACCAAGGCUAUGACGCAUAACUGGUCUGAGAGGAUGAUCAGUCACAUUGGAACUGAGACACGGUCCAAACUCCUACGGGAGGCAGCAGUAGGGAAUAUUGCGCAAUGGGGGAAACCCUGACGCAGCAACGCCGCGUGGAGGAUGACACCUUUCGGAGCGUAAACUCCUUUUAUCGGGAAAGAAUAAUGACGGUACCCGAUGAAUAAGCACCGGCUAACUCCGUG
rnacentral:rRNA from 1 species